UUCACGAAGAGAAAAACAAAAUUGUAAUGGCGACGAGAGCAACAACCAAGAGAAAUAAUCCUCAGAGACAGAGAGAGCUUGUUCUAAUGGCGACGAGGGCCAAACAGAUAUGAACAAAGCAGAGGUGUACGGUUUCUUUUGAGUCUCGUUGAUGGUUUGAAGAAUGAAGAAGAAGAUUCGGAUCAGAAAAGAUAACGCUUGACAUAUAAUGGAAAAUCUGAUUCUAGUGCUCGUCUUCCCCGAAUCAAUACAUCUUCCUUGUCAGUUUCACUUCAGUUUUUGAGCUAGUCCAUGCCAGCCUAUGGGAAACUGUGGCAACACUCUAUGCGCCUGAAAUCGUUGCCCUCUGUUCAAACAAUACUCAUAUUUAUAUAAAGCAUCUCAACAAACCAAUGGGAGAGGUUACAUGUCCUCCAAAAGGUACGUGUGGAGUCUGGAAGGAGGAAGAUGGGUACCAAACGCUCAUGUUAGUCUUAGGCUAAAUCCUGAUGCACUUUGUGUCCAAUGAAUGGAGUCCAAAAGGGAACCAGAUUGCUAAUUGUUCAAAACCCGAGCCAAUACUUCUUCCUUGUCCGCUUCAAUUGCUGAUCCACAAAUUUUAGCCUCUUUAGAUUGAGAAUUUGGUUCACAUUCUUUGCAACAUAGGGGAUCAUUCCUUAUGACCCAACAACAACAAUAGAUAAUCCUUUAUCUUGAUUUGAUGUGGAUAGAAUGCAGUCUGUGGGAAGUUAUGCAGUUGGUUACAUAUUACUCUCUUUCCAAAGAAUAAUGAAGUUUACCUUAAAACCAGUGGGAGAGGUUACAUGUCCUCAAAACGAAAAGGGCUGUACAGAAAACUCAGUUCUCCCUUACUAUGUUCAUUGUUUGAAUCGCUGCAGCAUGGCCAAAUUGAAGUCUACAGUACAGGUUGAUACCAUUUUGACUGGGAUCAUGAUUGGUAUGUCUGAUGUUGCGGCUAUGAUCCCCAGAAGUGUAGGAUUGCUUCCAUCUCCUGCCCUUGGUUAUUCAUAUCUUCUUCCUUUUUUGCCUUUUCUUUAUAGUGAUCUCAUUUCUUUAAAAAUAUAUUCUUGGAUUUUUCUCAUACUCUGAUGGAUACAGGAUAAUAGGAGAAGCAGUACUUUCUGACCGUGGAUUCAGAACUUGAGACAUUCAUACUCCUGAAACUUAGGUGAAAUUUCGAAGCAGAGUAGCACCAGCUGUGUUUUUUUGUUCAUAGAGAAUGGGAGCAGAAGAAGUUUCUAGUGGUUCUUUCUUCAGUCAGACUCAGAUACAGUGGACAAUGCUGAGUUAAGCAACACAGCUUUGGUGUUUGUCAUUAGAAAGGCCCUUGCAUCUGUCCAAAAUGUGAGUCAUGCACAAAUGUUGCUUCUUUCCCAGUUACAGGUUUUAGUGCCUUAUGUGGAUAAGUUGUUGAAGUUGGAGAACAGCUCAAUCGGAAAAGUUGUUGGCAAGGUGAUUCUUUUGGCGUGGUGAAUGGUGAUGGAGAGGUUGCGAGACCUUGAUUUCAGAGGUGUUUGAAUUGGAACUUGAAGUUGCAGUUGAAGGCACUAUGAAUGAAGGGGAGGAGUUUCCAGUGCCGUCUCUAAAUAAAAUGGUUCAGCUAAAAAUGUCGUCUCUGAGUUGUUGAAAAAAUUAAUGGUACUAUCUUUUAAGCAUCUUGAAUCCUAUCCAAAAGCUGGUCGUCUGGAUGAGGUGUUUGAAAUUCUCUUAAGAGUCAUUUGAGAACUUGGUUCUCAACACGCGCAAAUUAAACGUUUCACAGUUGAUAUUCUAUAUGUGAUCACUAGAUCCUGAAAAUUGUGGUGUGAAAUUUGCAAGUAAGCUGUUGGACAUAUAUCUCUCCGGCAACAAUCCUCAAGUUACUAUGAUACGGUUUUUAAAUGUGUAUUUUUUACAACAGUAUAAAUUAGAGGGAGCUAAAUGACUAAUACCUAACAUAAAUUGACAGAACAGUGCAAAUCCUAAAGUUGAAUAGUGUUUUCCUUUGUAUGCUAUUUUUCUUUUGAUGAGAGUCGUCGUUUCAUCUCAAUCUAGUUAGAAGUU